UCCUUGCACUGACAGGACGGGGUGCAAUUAGCACGGAGAGAUUAAAACGUGAAAGGAAUACUGUCAAGAACCCAUUUCCACCCCAGGAGAUGAGCGUGGCCUAGAAUAGAUGCGGAGCAUGAUUAAACUGCAGGACGGGCUCGGGAGGGAGGGUGGGGGCGCACUCACCUCCCCCCAGACCCAGGAUGGGGCCUCUGCUGAGUCAGACCCCGGAGGCGGCUCUUUGCAGAUGUUGCAGAGAAACAGGAUGCUGAGAGUCCUUCUGGGGAAUUUAGGCACACAAAGACACCAGAAACAUGCAGUCACGGAGGAAAGGCCACGAGAGAUCACAGCGGGAGACAGCGACCCUCAGCAAGCCAAGGAGGGGCCUCCAGAGAAGCCAACCCCACCAACACCCCGAUCUGGGACUUGGAGUCUCCAGGACUGUGAGAAGUCACUUUCUGUCACAUAACCACCCAUCUGUGUUCUCUGUUAAGGCCGCAUUAGCAACUGAAUACAAAUACAGGAUCAAGAAGCCCGGAGGGCUGUGAACCUGCUUUGUCUUUCACGGGUGUGGGAUGUCUUAGGUCUUCCUCUGGGCUGAGGUCUGCUUGCGGAUGGGUUCACACUGCGGCAUUCCUCCCGAGAGCUUUCCUGGGACUUCUCCCUUGAGUCCCAAUCUCAGCCACCCCUCCAUGCUGACCAUACUGCUCCCCAGCGCUGACUUCUCCAGGCCUGUACUUCGGCUUCCUCCUCCCACCGUCAUGCACAAGUCCCAGCAGGAACUUAUUAUCUGAACUCCCAAACCCACCCCUCCCUCCAGUGGAUGGCAUCAGCAUUCUGCCCUGCAGGCUUGAAAAGGCACGUAUCCAGGGAUUCCUCAAGAGUGGUGCCCGGAGCCACUGUCUUUCUGGAAAUUACUGAACUGUUUUCAAACUGUGCCUUGAAGAUGUGUUAGUAACACAGCGAUUUCUCCUGUGUGGGGUUUAGCCGCUGGCCCCAGUUCAGGGGAUGACACCCAAAGCAUGAUCAUCAAGCCCUCCCCUCUCGAGGACAGCUAGUCUGGAAUGACAGUCCCUGUCUGGAUUUCUGGGACCUCUUCUUUGUUUCAGUUCUUCAUCUCCAUGUCACCAGACUGUUGAAAGCCUUUCUAAAAGGCUGGGUGUCCCUGGUUUCGACUCUAGAUUCUCACACCCCAGCCAAAAUAAUCUUCUGGAUUUACUUCGAAGGCAUUCGAUUAUGUGGGGGAUAAAAUCUAAAUCGCUUUCGAUGGCAUUCAGGGCUCUCUAGCUCCGAUCCUAACCGGCCCUCCCAAGGCUGUUUUCCACUUUUCCUCUUCUUGCACUGUAUCCUCUCACUCCACAAAUGCAGCUGGGCUUGAGGCCGACAGUCUGGGUUCAAAUCCUGGCCUUGCCACUUCCUUGCUGUGUGACCUGGGGAGGCUUGUCAAGCACUGGGUAAUAAUAUCAAUAGCUAACUUUAACCCAGCACUUAGCUUGUAUCAGGCCUCAUGACAAGAGAGCUCAUAAAUUGUUUUACUUAGUUCUCCUGCCAGCCCAAUUCUGUAGGGAACCCUAGGUCUUACCAUCAUCUUCCUUCUGCACAGGAGAGCAAGGCACUAGACAUUUCAGUGACUUGCCCAAGGCUUGAAGCCUCAGCUUUUGCAUCUGUAAAAUGAGGAUAAUCAGUGUUUCUCCCCGUGUUGGUCAGGACUCUUCCCAGUUGCAAGUGACAGGAACCAACUCUAAGGAGCUCAAGCAAAACAGAGGAGGCGCGCCUUCCAGGGGCAAGGGAUGUCCUCAGCCUGCUCCAGCUCUGCCUUUGGCGAUCCAGCCUGCCGGGGAUGGACAUUCUUAGGAUACAGGAACCCCGCUCUCUGACACCUGUGAUCUCAGAAGGCAAGAAUCCCUCUCUCCCAGGGCCCAGAGUCAUCCCUGAGAAGGACCCUGACAACCCAGGUCAAGGUGCCAGCCCCGCGUGUGGGAAGUGAGCCCGCGUUUAGAGAUUCUAGGCAGUUCCCCACAGGAAAAGAUUCUGGGGUGGGGCUGCUCAAAACUAACAAGUGUUUGCUAACUUGGUAAAUUUAUUCAACUCAAUAGUUACGGAGUGCCUGCCACGUGCAAGUGUGGGGAACUAGUAAGGAGCCCACGAGGAGGGAACUCCGUGAAGGCACCACUCCCGGUGGCUCCUCCAGGGGACAUGCCAUAAAUUGAACAGGAGUGAGCUCAGCCUUCCCCUGCCAACACCAGGAAGCACCUCCAUCCCUAGGCCUGUGGUUUACAAUGUGGUGCCCACAUCACGCCUCCCCUUCUCCCCUGCGGCACGGGACGAGUGUGUGUGUGUCUCAGUGCACACACCUGUGCUCUGCGUCCCUAAGCAGUCUCAGAUAAGGGCUGUGCUUACUAGAUGCACGGACGAAAGGAUGGAGAGGUGCACUGGGCUUUUUCUUUCCCUUGAAACUGGCACAGAAGAUUCAGGUUGUAUCACAGUUCAAAUGCAGGAACACAAAGCUGUUUUGUAUCAA